GAUGAACGCUGGCGGCGUGCCUAAUACAUGCAAGUCGAGCGAACAGACGAGGAGCUUGCUCCUCUGACGUUAGCGGCGGACGGGUGAGUAACACGUGGAUAACCUACCUAUAAGACUGGGAUAACUUCGGGAAACCGGAGCUAAUACCGGAUAAUAUAUUGAACCGCAUGGUUCAAUAGUGAAAGACGGUUUUGCUGUCACUGAUAGAUGGAUCCGCGCCGCAUUAGGUAGUUGGUAAGGUAACGGCUUACCAAGGCAACGAUGCGUAGCCGACCUGAGAGGGUGAUCGGCCACACUGGAACUGAGACACGGUCCAGACUCCUACGGGAGGCAGCAGUAGGGAAUCUUCCGCAAUGGGCGAAAGCCUGACGGAGCAACGCCGCGUGAGUGAUGAAGGUCUUCGGAUCGUAAAACUCUGUUAUUAGGGAAGAACAAAUGUGUAAGUAACUAUGCACGUCUUGACGGUACCUAAUCAGAAAGCCACGGCUAACUACGUG
rnacentral:rRNA from 1 species